rfam:Caprimulgus carolinensis contig73574, whole genome shotgun sequence.
UUGCUUUGACAGCACAUACACUAAAAUUGGAACCAUAGAGAGAAGAUUAGCAUGGUCCCUGUGCAAGUAUCAUAGGCAAAUUUGUGAAGCAUUCCAUAUUUUU